rnacentral:rRNA from 1 species
UUUUAAAUAAUAAUUUUUCAAAUUAUUUCAAUUUUCUUUCACAAUACUAUUAAACUAUAAUUAAAUUUAUUUUUUCUUUAAACAAUACUGAAACUUUAUAAUAUAUAAUUAUUUUUAAUAUUUUAAACAUAAAUAAAUAAAUAAAAUUAAUAAAUAAAAUUUAA